rnacentral:lncRNA from 1 species
AGGGGAGAGAGUCUGAAGAACAGGAAAAAAUUUGGAACCAAGGAGAAUGAGUAGGGGUGAAUAAAGCUGGGGCAGAGAUGUUAGGGUGAGGGUGGUAGUGAGGAGUACUGAGGGGUGCUUGCGGCUAGAGGCCCUAAGUCUAGAGAGCAGAGGGAGGAAGGAGGAGAAAAGGGGACACAGGCCAGGCCACAGUAUUAUUGGUGCCCCUACUCCCAGGGAGGGGGAAUUAGGCCAUGAAUGAGGAGUUGAAAUGCCAGAGUAAUGACAGACAGAGCCCCAGGCUCUGACCAACCCCCUUCCCCACAUUCCCAUAGUGCGAUAUCUCCUAGACCAAAGAGAAAGACAUUAACAAAUCUGCAGCCUCCCUGCCUUCUUGAAAACCACAUCUCCACCAUCUUGCCCGCCCCAGGUCCUUGGGCCAGCCUUGCCCUGGUAUCCUAGACACGCCUCUGCACGCCUGGCACCAGCUUCCCCUCCUACGUGACCAGCACAGGCCCUGGACUGGGUGGCGGAUGCUGAGAUAAGGCCAAGGAGGGGGAAACCACCAAAGCCAGGAAGUUACACAGCCUGGUUCCCCUGGCAACCUAGCCACAGUCACCAAACAGUGCAGGGUAGGGGGUAGGGCCAACUCUUGUUCAAGGCCUCAAGGCCAGGGCCUCUCAGACCUCAAUUUUCUUGCUGGCUGGAGAGACUUCUCCCCCGAAUAUCCUAGGUCACUGCUGCCUAAGGAUUAUGGGGGAAGUCUGUUUAAAUGCAAAUUCAAGAUACCACCUCCACUACCUCUGCCACAGAUUCUCAGUCCAUAGGUCUCAUAGGUCUAACUGGAAUCUGCAUUUCUUUUUUUUUUUUUCUUUUUCCAUUCAUUUAACACAUUUAUUUGUGGAAAGCCUACUCUACC